GUUACCUUUAAUUCAGUCCUGUGAGGCUGGCAAGGUGUAACAAAUAAAACAAACAUACUCGAAAUGGAACCAAUUUUCCAUCCCGGGCGGUCCUUUAUUUGUACACAAAACACCUUGCCAUGAUUGAGCAAGGUGUUUUUAUU
rfam:Virgibacillus sp. LM2416 chromosome, complete genome.